rnacentral:rRNA from 1 species
CUUUCGUCUUGUAAUUGGAAUGAUGGCGACUUAAACCCUCGCCAGAGUAACAAUUGGAGGGCAAGUCUGGUGCCAGCAGCCGCGGUAAUUCCAGCUCCAAUAGCGUAUAUUAAACUUGUUGCAGUUAAAAAGCUCGUAGUUGAAUUUCUGCGUUGCGUUUUUCUUGCUUUUUGCUUGACUUUCGCUUCGCUUUUUGGUUUUACUUUGAGAAAAUUAGAGUGUUUAUCGCAGACUUUUGUCUUGAAUACUUCAGCAUGGAAUAAUAGAGUAGGACCUUGGUUCUAUUUUGUUGGUUUUUGAGCCUUGGUAAUGGUUAAUAGGAACG